CCCGAGUGCUCUCCAGGCUGUCAGGGCCUCCCCUAAUACAGCCCAGCCUUCCUCCUUGGGGCCGGUUCCCGUGCCCAGGUGACCUGGUAGGUGACACCUGGGUGAAUGCAGAGUCACCGCGGCCGCACUGUGCUCCCACUCAGCCUCACAAGGGUUUCCUGGAAACCCACUUCCGAUAUCGGGGAAACCCUCAUGCCCAAAGUUGGACUUGUUGGCUUAAGCAAGUGUAAGCUGAUGGCAGACAUGUCACCUGGACGUCCCUGGGAGGGAUAGCAGCACCGCGGCCUCACGGAUCAGCUGCAGGACAGCGUUCUGGAAGUGCAUGAUGAGAAAAUGCAAGCAUGUUGUUCGGUUGAGUCAUGCAGAAUGUCCCAGAACCUGAAACAGGAUCUUUCUCAGUCGGUAAGAACCAGAAGAUGGGAAUGAGA